rnacentral:rRNA from 1 species
AACGGCUGGCGGCGUGCUUAACACAUAGCAAGUCUACGAGAAAAGGGUAAGGCAAUAUCCUAGAGUAAAGUGGCGCACGGGUGAGUAACACGUAGGCAAUCUGCCUUAGGACGGGGACAACCUCGAGAAAUCGAGGCUAAUACCCGAUGAUGCAGCGGCACCGCAUGGUGACAGUUGUUAAAGGCCCGCAAGGGCGCCUAUAGAUGAGCCUGCGUCCCAUUAGGUAGUUGGCGGGGUAACGGCCCACCAAGCCAUCGAUGGGUAGCUGGUCUGAGAGGAUGAUCAGCCACACUGGAACUGAGACACGGUCCAGACUCCUACGGGAGGCAGCAGUGAGGAAUAUUGCGCAAUGGCCGAAAGGCUGACGCAGCGACGCCCGCGUGAAGGAUGAAGUCCGUUAGGAUGUAAACUUCUUUUGUAGGGGAUGAAUGUCCCGGCUUCGGCCGGGAUUGACCGUACCCUGCGAAUAAGGAUCGGCUAACUACGUGCCAGCCGCCGC